CCCGCUGAACUUAAGCAUAUCAAUAAGCGGAGGAAAAGAAACUAACAAGGAUUCCCCUAGUAACUGCGAGUGGAGCGGGAAAAGCUCAAAUUUGAAAUCUGGCGGCCCCGCCGUCCGAGUUGUAUUCUGGAGAAGCGUCUUCCGUGCCGGACCGUGUACAAGUCCCUUGGAACAGGGCGUCGUAGAGGGUGAGAAUCCCGUCUUUGACACGGACCCCCGGUGCUAUGUGAUGCGCUCUCGAAGAGUCGAGUUGUUUGGGAAUGCAGCUCAAAAUGGGUGGUAAAUUCCAUCUAAAGCUAAAUAUUGGCGAGAGACCGAUAGCGAACAAGUACCGUGAGGGAAAGAUGAAAAGCACUUUGGAAAGAGAGUAAAACAGUACGUGAAAUUGUUGAAAGGGAAACGCUUGAAGUCAGUCGCGUCUGCCGGAACUCAGCCUUGCUCAUGCUUGGUGCACUUUCCGGUCUGACGGGCCAGCAUCGGUUUUGGGCGGCGGACACUGGCGAGGGGAAGGUGGCAGCUCCGGCUGUGUUAUAGCCCCCCGUCGCAAACGUCGUCUGGGACCGAGGAAUCCGGCGCAAGCCUGGGAUGCUGGCGUAAUGGCUUUAAGCGACCCGUCUUGAAACACGG
rnacentral:rRNA from 1 species